UACGCAUUAAAUAUUUUAUUUACAUCAUAGAUAGUUUGGACACAUCAUAUGUUAUUGCAUAUUGAUGCUUUGUCUGCAUGGUUUGAAGUAACUGUAUUUUUUGUACAAAGCUAGCAAUAUGAUGUUAAUAUCAAUGUAAAUGAUGUGAUAUGCAUAUGUGGAUAAUGCGACAUGUAUGUAUGUGGAUGAUAAUGUGGAUGGUGCAGUAUGCAUACAUUGGCAAUGCUGAAAAUGAUAUUAUUGUACUUAGCGGCGUUAAUAUCAUACUAAUGGUUAUUCUUAUCUCAAUAAUCCCCCAAGUCCAAGCUUAACAUUUCAUGUUAGAUAUUGGAUUUGUAAGAUGUAGCCAUAUAUGGCAAAGAAUUUAGUGAAUUGAGUGCUUAUAGUCAUCUAGCAAAUAGGUAAAACGAUCCUCUCAUAGUGACGAGGAAUAAUAAUUUUUCCCUCCUGUGGAGACAAUGAAUUUUACUCUUUUUCCUCUUGUAGAGAAGAAAAUUUUUGCUGAGAGGUCAUAUAGGCUCAUCUCGUUGUUGCGAGGUAUAUGAGCUGGUAUCAAUAAUGUGAAGUCUUCCAAACUAUCCUUGUCUAUGCAAGGUCUGAUAGUUUGCCUCGAAUGAUAAUCAUGAGCUAAGGCCCUGAGCCAUUGUGAUGUUAGAAAUGGCUUUGUAUAAGAGAUAACCUAGCCGGUACCACCCUUGUGAGAUAUUUCAUGAUCAUAUUUUACCAUUUUGACUUCCCCUACUACUUGUAAAACUAUCCUUAUUGGCAGGUAGGUUUUUCAACUUACCCUUUACAGCAUCAGAUACUAGUUUUCUUAAUAAUGGGAGGUCUCAGGAGCUUGCCUCAUCGUUGCAAGGUCUUACAGACUCGUCUCCAUAAUGCAAUGCAAGAGCCACGGUACAACUUCCAACAUUUUGAUAAUGUUCCAGGGCACGAAGAGAGUUCGAGAAAAUAUUAGGCUUUGACGUUAACGCCAGCCAACCUCUAAAUGUAUCUCAUUAUCCAAAAUGUAUUUUCUCCAACAGCCAUAUGGAAUAUUUAAGGACAUGAUCCAAGCAUGCUCACUUUCGAAACAAGGACCAAAUUUUCACCGUUUGCCCACAGGUGAGCAAACUGAUGGUCUCCAAUUAUCUUCUCCAGAAAUAGAAAAUGACACAAUUAGAUUGUUAUUUUUAUAUUUCACAGCCGCAUAGAGUUUUCAUCACAAGUCCGUACCUUCAAAAUUUUCAGUUCAAUGGAACAACAUUGGUCCCCUUUCAUCAUAAGGCUAUGCAGCCAAGCUGUAAACCAGUAUGGUAGGGUGGCCUGUUAUGAUGUCAUAAGGUUCACUACUAGCUAAGAAGGCUGUAACGCCCCGUGUUUACAUCUUAGACUGAUUCUAGCCUUGAUUUGUAAGAAG
rnacentral:lncRNA from 1 species